rnacentral:rRNA from 1 species
GACCUCCCCCCUUGUGUUUAUUACUUUGUUGCUUUGGCGAGCUGCCCUCCUUUAAGGGAUGCUCGCCAGAGAAUACCAAAACUCUUUUUAUUAAUGUCGUCUGAGUACUAUAUAAUAGUUAAAACUUUCAACAACGGAUCUCUUGGUUCUGGCAUCGAUGAAGAACGCAGCGAAAUGCGAUAAGUAAUGUGAAUUGCAGAAUUCAGUGAAUCAUCGAAUCUUUGAACGCACAUUGCGCCCCUUGGUAUUCCGGGGGGCAUGCCUGUUCGAGCGUCAUUUCAACCCUCAAGCUUAGCUUGGUAUUGAGUCUAUGUCAGUAAUGGCAGGCUCUAAAAUCAGUGGCGGCGCCGCUGGGUCCUGAACGUAGUAAUAUCUCUCGUUACAGGUUCUCGGUGUGCUUCUGCCAAAACCCA